rnacentral:rRNA from 1 species
AAGUCGAGCGAACAGAUGAGGAGCUUGCUCCUCUGACGUUAGCGGCGGACGGGUGAGUAACACGUGGAUAACCUACCUAUAAGACUGGGAUAACUACGGGAAACCGGAGCUAAUACCGGAUAAUAUAUUGAACCGCAUGGUUCAAUAGUGAAAGACGGUUUUGCUGUCACUUAUAGAUGGAUCCGCGCCGCAUUAGCUAGUUGGUAAGGUAACGGCUUACCAAGGCAACGAUGCGUAGCCGACCUGAGAGGGUGAUCGGCCACACUGGAACUGAGACACGGUCCAGACUCCUACGGGAGGCAGCAGUAGGGAAUCUUCCGCAAUGGGCGAAAGCCUGACGGAGCAACGCCGCGUGAGUGAUGAAGGUCUUCGGAUCGUAAAACUCUGUUAUUAGGGAAGAACAAAUGUGUAAGUAACUAUGCACGUCUUGACGGUACCUAAUCAGAAAGCCACGGCUAACUACGUGCCAGCAGCCGCGGUAAUACGUAAGUGGCAAGCGUUAUCCGGAAUUAUUGGGCGUAAAGCGCGCGUAGGCGGUUUUUUAAGUCUGAUGUGAAAGCCCACGGCUCAACCGUGGAGGGUCAUUGGAAACUGGAAAACUUGAGUGCAGAAGAGGAAAGUGGAAUUCCAUGUGUAGCGGUGAAAUGCGCAGAGAUAUGGAGGAACACCAGUGGCGAAGGCGACUUUCUGGUCUGUA